CGCGGGCGGAAUCAUGGAGACCGAUUUUAUCAAUAGGGUUAAGAUUUUUAAGUCUCUUUUCGCCCACUUUAACCUCAAAUUUGUCUUGUUUCCGCCCAUUAUUCCAUCAAAUUUCAUCAGUUAAAUUUUGUGUGUACAGUUUCGUAAUGAUUAUCGAGACUAAAUUUCAGUCGUGUUCAAGUUUUCUGUCUUUUCGUGGGGAGAAAUGAUGGGAAACUACCUAUCCGCCGCCUCCAGCAUUGCUAACCUGAUUCUGCGUACGAUGAGCAAAUCGCAGCACAGGUUAGAGGGCGAAGAUGAGAUCCUCUAAAUCCGGAUCACCGAAGGACGGUCAGAGCAAAAAUCAACCCAAAGAGACAUUCUGGCAAAAGCGAGUAAGUCAAGUGGAGAGCGUUUCGAAACUGCUACUAAAUAAGAACAAAAGCAAACAAAACGCCAUCAAAGAAACGAAAGACAAGAAAAAACAACAGCAGACCGCCGGCGAACAACUAGAGUGUCUGAAAAAAGCACUAGAGAGUCUAACGCAGAAAGAAGCCGAACUUUCAAAACGUCAACCAAAAGACUCAUCUUUGACUCCGCACCCCAAAAGAAGUCGAAGACCUCCUGAAAAUGUCAGGUCCGACGACAUCCUCUGCUACUCGGACGGAAAGAACAGCCUGAUAUACUGUCCCUCCGAAAAGGGCAUUAACUUCGACUUCGAUGCCUCGGACGACAAGAGGGGUCGAUCUGCCUCUAAAUCGACAGUAAAGAGAAGUGCCUCACCAAAGCCGCGCGAGAAUAUACGAGGAGGAGAGGAGCCAUACCACCGAGAGGACUGCGAUGGUAAGAACACGCGAGGCGGGUCGUCCAAUCAUCGGAUGAGCGUUGAGAGAAGACAUUCGGAUCGGUGUAAGAGGGAUGAGAAACGGGAACCAAGGGAGUGCUGCAGGAAAGACGUCAAAAAAUCAAGCGAGAAAAAGCCAAAAUGGAGCGAGGCGUGCAAACAAAUCUGUAAGAAGAAAGCGCCACAAGAAUGCCUCAAGGCGGGACACCUGAGCGCCGGCAGAGGCCGGACACGGUCGGACGACGAAGACAGCUUAAAGGAACGGUGCAAGAGGAGACACUCUGACGUGGAGGAGCGAGGAAAGAAAGGAGGGCGGAAAGAGGAAAAGGACACGAGAUCCCGUGGAAGUCAAGCGAGUCUAAAGAGGUCAUCGGGGCGGCAUGGCUCUCGAGAUAGGGAGCGACAUCGGGAUCGCAACUGCCGGACGGAACCGAAGCGGAGCUGCUCGCGGUCGCGCAAGGAGGACUCGGACCGCGAGCGGAGGCGGAGCAGCCACAGGAGCGGGACCCGCGAGAAGACCGAGGCGGGCAGGUCGGUGUCGCGGGAGCCGGAGACGCCGCCGAAACGGAGGUCGAGCCUCAAGCGGACCUCCCCGGGCGCCCGGAGGUCCGGCUCCAGCGGGUACCUCCGGGACAGUUACGGCAACGAACCGUCGCCAUCACUAGGGUACCCAGCGCAGUGUCCAAACUCUACGUACCCCAUGCAGAAUGGCACGAUGCCCGCUUGGAAUUCGACGCUCCCGCCGCAUUCACCGGUCGCUUAUCCCGACAGCUCUUUCGGGGGUCAGUGCGGGUUCGUGGAACCCGAGUUCGACGCCAGUUCCAUCCGCUACCCGCAGGGCCCUGCGAUGAGUACGCCGGUCCCGCGGAGGAAUGCAAGAGUCGGUGGGCAUAUGGAUUGUCCCGCGGGUGGGUACAUGGAGACCCUGCCGGAGCACACCAUGGGGUCGGGUUACCCCCAACGCCCGUCUAUGGCCCAUCAUUCCAUGACACCUCUUCCGAUUUUGCGGGGCUCCAGGGGACCGGCUGGCGGUCCUGCGAUGAACGCUUCGGCUCCAGCUAUGUACGGACGUUCCACAUCUUCGAUUCCCGGUCGACCUGUUAGCGUCUCUUUCCCGCCGCAAUCGCCCUUCCAAGGACAACAGUUCCCGAGCCAAGAUCGUCUGGUUUCCACGCCGUCCGGUGGUAUUGUUUGUUGCAAUAGGUGUUGCAGGCCCGCUCCGUGCUGUUGCCCCUCCCAGUUUUGCGCUGUCAAUAAUCAAUGCGCAGCGUGCGCCGACCCCGAGUAUUACGAGUGCGGCGAGCACAUCCACGAGACCCCGUCGCCCAUGUGCAACUAUCACCGCUACCUGUGCGAGAGGCAGAAGUCGGCCAUCGCCGAGAGCACUGCCGAGCUGGACAACACCUAUCUCCGCGACUGCAUGCCCAUGUCUGCGCCUCGGUUCGACAAGACCAAGUUAUACGCCGACCCCAAAGGCCGCCGUCUCCAACCCAGCCUCAGUUGUCACGGUCUCAGCCCCUCUCAACUCCAGCAUCCUGUCGACCCGCAAAUGAUGAGCCUCCUCUACAGAAUACAUUACUUCAGAAAACACGCCUCAGAGAUCAAAAGUUGACACUUAUAACUUUUA
rnacentral:lncRNA from 1 species